UAUGUAGGUGGCGCGCGUUGUCCGGAAUUACUGGGUGUAAAGGGCGUGUAGGCGGGGGCUCAAGUCGGAUGUGGAAUACCGUGGCUCAACCACGGGGCUGCAUCCGAAACUGUGCCUCUGGAGUACCGGAGAGGAAAGUGGAAUUCCCAGUGUAGCGGUGAAAUGCGUAGAUAUUGGGAGGAACACCUGUGGCGAAGGCGACUUUCUGGUCGGUAACUGACGCUGAGGCGCGAAAGCGUGGGGAGCAAACAGG
rnacentral:rRNA from 1 species